CUUCUCCUUCCCCACGCGCGCCGCCAUGGGCUCCCGCCGCCGCCGGUCUCUCGACCAGGCCUGCGCACCAUCCGCCGCUCCCGCAUGACCCUGCUGGCCUCCCGCCCCCACGCGCUCAAAUCCUCUCCUCCGACUAGGUGCCCUCUCUGCUCGAACCCUCGUCCUCAUGGUGGGCACUGGUCAGAUCUCAGGGAAGACCGGGCUCAAACUUGCUGCAGAGGAGUACUGCCCUGUACUAGAAUAUCAUGAUGGCCAUGGCAAAGCAGUUCCUGUAGGCGUUGCUGCUCCUGUUGUCCAACCCCUUCCUGGCCUUUCCAGGUUGGGUUCCCGUGAGCGGCGUCAUCAGCUUAGGCACCAACCUCGUCCCCUCAAGGUUCUUGUCCCUUGAUGAACAAACCUAGCAUAUCGUUACUGAAUUUGGAGUUAUACACAUCAACAAGAGGAGGGAAAGAGACGGGCUUACAGUGGUAUGAAAAAAAAGUUUCCACCAUCGGUUGCAAAGGUUGUUGUUGCUAUAGCCUCAUGGAAAAAGAUUGUUUUUGGGUAAGCCAACCCAAUAUUUCUGGUCGUUGAUGCAUUUUGAUAAGUUUGAUGGUCCAGUCCCCAGUGAGGAAGAAAUCUUAGUCGACGACGCUGGCAGUGGCACUAGCUCCAGUGCCCCUGCUCUUGCAGCACUCGAGCAUAUUUUUAUCCGCAGCUUGAAAGGGGAGGAUGAAGGAAUUUUGCAGCUACUAUGGUAUUCUGCAUACAUCCAGAUUCUGAACUUCUAUCAAAGAUGCAUGGCUAUUGUAUCCUCAAGACAAUAUAAAAGCUUUUGCAAUGAUAUUUGUUUUUGCAGUUUCCUAAACUGAAUAAUCUUUAGAAUGCACGAAAGUCUUUUCAUAUUGAAUUGUAAUUCCAUUGAAACUUUCUCCUCCAGCCAUACACCAUUAGAAGAUAAAGACAGUAAGCUUGGUUGCAGCAUCCAAAACACAUUCAGUUAUCCGAAGUAAAGUAUAUUCAUAUUCAGCAAGUAAACUAGCAAGCUCUCUUCUCUUUCUUACAUAUUUUAUAUUUACAAUCACAUGGAGGUGCUCGGUUUCCCUGCCUUUCUUCCUGGUUCCGUAUUGAGAUUUGUAUGCAACUAUUUCAUCUUCCAUUAUGAACAUUAUCUUAUUUCAGAUUCAGCCAACAUGCAUGUAAAUACUAUGGCCAAUUGCAUUGUCUUCUAGAAUUAAUUAUGCACCAUGUCAUACAAACAUAUGACAGAUUUUUAGUCAUAGACCAUUUUGAUAAGCAUUAUGAUUUUAAAUUUACAAGUGUGAGUGACCUCAUCCGAACAUAUUGCCAUCCAUUCGACAGAUUUGUACUCUCUUUGUUGUUUGGCACAACAAAAUUGUCAGUUUCCAAAAUUCAUAUACUUCUAUUUAUACUGACGUUUUGUAUGCUCAUCUUAGAUGCCAUCACACAAUUACAUCUUAUAAUUAUGAUUUCUUUUAGAAUUAAAUGGAACUACAUACUGAUUUCAACUUCUAAGUGACAUGUUUAUAUGCCUAUUUGACAAAUUCCCCUUCAAUCUAAAUGAAUUAUAGGGGAGUUUACAGGAAAUGGGGAUCAUGCACAUCUUUUUCUUGGGAUCUUUAUGUUGUGCACUGAAGUCAUGUUGUGAAGUAUCACUUUGGAAUUAGCUCAUCCAAUUACUCGAUAUAUUUCACAAUGGGGAUUCAGAAUGUUACUACCCCUGUCCCAAAAUAAGUGUCUCCACUUUAGUACAACUUGUAUAAAGUUAGUACUAAGUUAGUACAAAGUUGAGACACUUAUUUUAGGACGGGGGAGUACUUAGUAUAUUUAAUGUUCUUCUUUUACAACCUAUCGGAGAUUGAAUGGAUGAAACACUAUUAUUGUCUUUAUGCAGCAAUGUGUCCAUGAUAGUUUUCACUUUUUAAAAGAUUCUACUUCCCCGUAUACUUAUGUCUCUUAUGUUAUCCUCUUGUGUUUUAUCUCUAAUUUAUCUUCCUGGUUACACCAGCUCCUUGUGUCUCCGCUCCCCCCUUGUGUGUUUAUGAUGGCAGCUCCGCAUCAUGGUGCGAGGCACCGGUGGCUGCAGUAGGUGUAGAUGACGAGGAAGAGCCAGCUUUGUGGCCUUGCUGCACCCACCUUAGCUUUUCAUUACUCCAUAUACGGACAUUAGGUUGAUGUUGUUGCAUAUGCAAAUAAUUGGUUUGUUAUCCAUAGUUCUUCUACUUCAGAUUUGAUGCUAGGUGCCUUAGAGCUUAUACUAGAUGAUACAAAGGGGUUACCUAGCUUUCUUUCCGUGGGCAUACAUAUCUUCAUUUAUAUAGCAUAUUUUGUGCCCCAUAAUAUUUUACAGAAUUCUUUGCUGAAAGUUUGAAUAAAAAUGUCAUAAGAAUCUGGAUAAAAGAAAGUGGAAUGAAUAUAUAUGUAUAUUCCAUGGGCAGGAUAUCUAACGGGAACCAUUUAAAUUAUGAUGGUCGUAUUCUAUAACUACAAUUAAGGAGUAUUUUAGCACAUGUUGCUUAUAAAAUUCUUAUCUAAUUAUACUUAGAAUUUCUUUUGGCAGCUCCUUUUUGUUUAGUUGUUUCUUAAGCACACAAAUAGUGCAUUCUUGACAACCUCUUUCUCCCAUGCAAUGAACUGGGGAGGCAUCACAUAAAUUACAAAUAUUUUCAUUUUUCCUUGAUUUAUAGAAGAAUAGAAUGUUGCACGUUGCUUCUAUGGUGUAUCACCCAAUGUAUAGCUUCCUUGAUUUUAUUUUGUUUCAGCUAGUGGCAUGGUAUUCUGCCAUGUACCACUGUCUUUAUUUAUAGUUUGCAUGUCCAUUGAAAAGACUAAAUCAUUUACUCUGUUUCUCUUGGUCCAGUGAAAGACCAAAUCCAUGUGUAGCUGUUCUGGCUUUGUGGUGUGCAUCAUCUAGCUGAAAUAAUGAAAUGAUGUGAGAUUAUGUUAGAGCUUGCUGGUGUGAUGCUUGUCAAUCCUGCUAUGCCGUUGUCUGCUGAAUUCUGGUUGUACAUCGAUGCAAAUGAACAUGGACACAACUUAUUCUAUACAUUUUAUUAAAAAUUCAAACCGCUAAACAUGAUCACUUCCAUAUCUCUGAAAUUUUAUGCUUUUGGUUUCCAAUGGUAUUUGGUUUCUGUACACUGCAAGCCCCACGAUGCUAAUUGAAAUAUCCUUUAUCAUGUUGCAGAUGCUUAGCAAAUGCUUUUGCUGCUACCUGAUCAUAAUCAUCUAAUUUUUUACUCCUUUCAUUUCUGAUCAUAAUCAUCUAAUUUUUUACUCCUUUCAUUUCUAUAGGAAUGGCUGGAAGAGAGUUAUCCUGCAUGGGCACAUAGACCAGGAUACAUUGUACAUUGUAUCUCAGGAUAUAGCAACAUGAGGUGAGGUUUACAGGAAACACAAAAGAGGGAGCUAAAGAUGUUCAAGUUGGAGGAUGUUAUCCAAUGAGAUGAAGAAUGAAGGUUUUGAUGUCAAGUAUGAGAAUGAUGCAAGGAUCUGCAUCUUGGUGGAAGGAUGUGAGGAUGGGGCUGUAGUUUCCCACUAGAAGGCAGGCAAAUGAUGUGCCCUGAGACAAAUUGCCGAAAACAAAGCGAGGAAUUUAAUUAGUUACAUUAGUUUAUAGGAAACUUGGAUGGUCAUUAGUUCAUAACAGAUGAACUAUUUAUAUGUAAAAAUUAAUGCAUGUGUGUUGUUUAUAUGUGAAUUGUUUGGUUCUGGUUCAA